rnacentral:rRNA from 1 species
GUAGGUGGCAAGCGUUGUCCGGAAUUAUUGGGCGUAAAGCGCGCGCAGGCGGUUCUUUAAGUCUGAUGUGAAAGCCCACGGCUCAACCGUGGAGGGUCAUUGAAAACUGGAGAACUUGAGUACAGAAGAGGAAAGCGGAAUUCCACGUGUAGCGGUGAAAUGCGUAGAGAUGUGGAGGAACACCAGUGGCGAAGGCGGCUUUCUGGUCUGUAACUGACGCUGAGGCGCGAAAGCGUGGGGAGCAAACAGGAUUAGAUACCCUGGUAGUCCACGCCGUAAACGAUGAGUGCUAAGUGUUAGGGGGGUUUUCCGCCCCCCUUAGUGCUGCAGCUAACGCAUUAAGCACUCCGCCUGGGAGUACGGCCGCAAGGCUG